GCGCCCUUGGCCGAAUGGACUGAGGCAUCCCUCUUCUACAGGGAAACAUGCGGGUUCGACUCCUGCAGGGCGCU
rnacentral:tRNA from 1 species